AUGCAGUCGGANGGGGUAUAAGUUGUAGCAAUACAAUUUAUACUUAGUGGCGGACGGGUGAGUAACACGUAGGUAACCUGCCCUUGGGAGGGGGACAACUCAGGGAAACUUGAGCUAAUACCCCAUAAGACCACGAACUGAGAUGUUAGUGGUAAAAGUAGCAAUACACCUAAGGAUGGGCCUGCGGCCUAUCAGGUAGUUGGUGAGGUAACGGCCCACCAAGCCAAAGACGGGUAGCCGGGCUGAGAGGUUGAACGGCCACACUGGAACUGAGAUACGGUCCAGACUCCUACGGGAGGCAGCAGUGGGGAAUAUUGCACAAUGGGGGAAACCCUGAUGCAGCGACGCCGCGUGGAGGAUGAAGGCCUUCGGGUUGUAAACUCCUUUUGCAGGGGAAGAUAAUGACGGUACCCUGCGAAUAAGCCACGGCUAACUCUGUGCCAGCAGCCGCGGUAAGACAGAGGUGGCGAGCGUUGUUCGGAAUUACUGGGCUUAAAGGGCGAGUAGGCGGUGGAGUAAGUCUGGGGUGGAAUCUUAGGGCUUAACCCUAAAACUGCCUUAGAAACUGCUUUACUUGAGUCAGUGAGGGGAGGGCGGAAUUCCUGGUGUAGCGGUGAAAUGCGUAGAUAUCAGGAGGAAGGCCUGUGGCGAAGGCGGCCCUCUGGCACUGUACUGACGCUGANGCGCGAAAGCGUGGGUAGCAAACAGGAUUAGAUACCCUGGUAGUCCACGCCCUAAACGGUGGGCAUUANGUGUAGGGCUCGUAAGGGUUCUGUGCCGAAAGGNAAACCAUUAAAUGCCCCGCCUGGGGAGUACNGGCCGCAAGGUUGAAACUCAAAUGAAUUGACGG
rnacentral:rRNA from 1 species